rnacentral:rRNA from 1 species
UUCCAGACUCCUACGGGAGGCAGCAGUGGGGAAUAUUGCACAAUGGGGGAAACCCUGAUGCAGCGACGCCACGUGAGCGAAGAAGUAUUUCGGUAUGUAAAGCUCUAUCAGCAGGGAAGAAAAAAAUGACGGUACCUGAGUAAGAAGCACCGGCUAAAUACGUGCCAGCAGCCGCGGUAAUACGUAUGGUGCAAGCGUUAUCCGGAUUUACUGGGUGUAAAGGAGCGUAGGCGGCGCGUUAAGUCUGAUGUGAAAACCCGAGGCUCAACCACGGGAGUGCAUUGGAAACUGGCGGGCUGGAGUGCCGGAGAGGUAAGCGGAAUUCCUAGUGUAGCGGUGAAAUGCGUAGAUAUUAGGAGGAACACCGGUGGCGAAGGCGGCCUGCUGGACUGUAACUGACGUUGAGGCUCGAAAGCGUGGGGAGCAAACAGGAUUAGAUACCCUUGUAACC